rnacentral:rRNA from 1 species
GAUGAACGCUAGCGAUAGGCUUAACACAUGCAAGUCGAGGGGCAGCAUGGUCUUAGCUUGCUAGAUCGAUGGCGAGUGGCGAACGGGUGAGUAAUACAUCGGAACGUGCCCUGUAGUGGGGGAUAACUAGUCGAAAGAUUAGCUAAUACCGCAUACGACCUGAGGGUGAAAGUGGGGACCGCAAGGCCUCAUGCUAUAGGAGCGGCCGAUGUCUGAUUAGCUAGUUGGUGAGGUAAAGGCUCACCAAGGCGACGAUCAGUAGCUGGUCUGAGAGGACGAUCAGCCACACUGGGACUGAGACACGGCCCAG